rnacentral:rRNA from 1 species
AUUGAACGCUGGCGGCAGGCCUGACACAUGCAAGUCGAACGGUAACAGGAAACAGCUUGCUGUUUCGCUGACGAGUGGCGGACGGGUGAGUAAUGUCUGGGAAACUGCCUGAUGGAGGGGGAUAACUACUGGAAACGGUAGCUAAUUCCGCAUAACGUCACAAGACCAAAGAGGGGGACCUUCGGGCCUCUUGCCAUCGGAUGCGCCCAGAUGGGAUUUGCUAGUAGGUGGGGUAACGGCUCACCUAGGCGACGAUCCCUAGCUGGUCUGAGAGGAUGACCAGCCACACUGGAACUGAGACACGGUCCAGACUCCUACGGGAGGCAGCAGUGGGGAAUAUUGCACAAUGGGCGCAAGCCUGAUGCAGCCAUGCCGCGUGUAUGAAGAAGGCCUUCGGGUUGUAAAGUACUUUCAGCGGGGAGGAAGGGAGUAAAGUUAAUACCUUUGCUCAUUGACGUUACCCGCAGAAGAAGCACCGGCUAACUCCGUGCCAGCAGCCGCAGUAA